rnacentral:rRNA from 1 species
GACGAACGCUGGCGGCGUGCUUAACACAUGCCAGUCGAACGGAAAGGCCCUGCUUUUGUGGGGUGCUCGAGUGGCGAAGGGGUGAGUAACACGUGAGUAACCUGCCCUUGACUUUGGGAUAACUUCAGGAAACUGGGGCUAAUAACGGAUAGGAGCUCCUGAUGCAUGGUGGGGGUUGGAAAGUUUCGGCGGUUGGGGAUGGACUCGCGGGUUAUCCGCUUGUUGGUGGGGUAGUGGCUGACAAAGGCUUUGACGGGUAGCCGGCCUGAGAGGGUGACCGGCCACAUUGGGACUGAGAUACGGCCCAGACUCCUACGGGAGGCAGCAGUGGGGAAUAUUGCACAAUGGGCGGAAGCCUGAUGCAGCAACGCCGCGUGCGGGAUGACGGCCUUCGGGUGGUAAACCGCUUUCGCCUGUGACGAAGCGUGAGUGACGGUAAUGGGUAAAGAAGCACCGGCUAACUACGUG